GGAACGAUGGCAGAGCGGACGAAUGCACCUGUCUUGAAAACAGGAGUGGGUUUACGCCUACCGGGGGUUCGAAUCCCUCUCGUUCCGCCA
rnacentral:tRNA from 1 species